GACAGAGGGUGCAAACGUUGCUCGGAAUCACUGGGCGUAAAGCGCACGUAGGCGGAUUGCUAAGUCAGGGGUGAAAUCCUGGAGCUCAACUCCAGAACUGCCUUUGAUACUGGCGAUCUCGAGUCCGGGAGAGGUGAGUGGAACUGCGAGUGUAGAGGUGAAAUUCGUAGAUAUUCGCAAGAACACCAGUGGCGAAGGCGGCUCACUGGCCCGGUACUGACGCUGAGGUGCGAAAGCGUGGGGAGCAAACAGG
rnacentral:rRNA from 1 species